UUCUUUUCUAAUCUGAGAAACUCCAAGGAGGUGGGGCCCGCGAGACACAACAGGCAGGCUAAAUUGUGCGGUUAACGGUCAAAGCCCCCCUGCCUACUUUGACACUCAUUUAAAGAUGACAGGGAACAAUAGAGAUUUGUUCUGUGCAACCCUUUCUUGUUAUGCCGGCGACAUCAGCUCCGCACAUGAAACUGCCCGAUAUUUCAUUCCACCUGCCACCUCCCUCCCGCCUCGGUCGACUCUCUCCUCUGCUACUUUGCUUGUCCCCACUUUAACACAAAGAGACAGCUCUGUGUUCACAGCACCUAACAGUGUUGAAAAAGAAUGCUAUUUAAAACCCGAGUUGAGACAUCACCUUUCCAAACCCAUGACUGCUUCCUGGCUCACUAAACACGAACCAGAAAUUAAUGCUGCAAAGAGCAGAGACAAGAGAUUCGACUGUGUUAGCCAGGAUGGUCUCGAUCUCCUGACUUCGUGAUCUGCCCGCCUCAGCCUCCCAAAGUGCUGGGAUUACAGGCUUGAGCCACUGUGCCUGGCUUCAGGCUGGGAUUUUUAUAGCUUAUUAUGGCAAGGGAGGAGACGGAGAGUAAAAGAAGAAGGAAGAGCAUACACAGUCACCCCUUGUGUGACAAAUAUGCAAGAAAUAAAGAUAAAUGUGUACAAUUCUUACAAUUUUACUUUUCUGAAUUUUGCUAUUGCACUGAAUGAUUUGUGAUAAGACAGAUGGGGAUGAAAAAUAUACUUAUUAAAUAAACAGCUAUUAAAAGCCCCUAAAACUCUUUAAAAUGGGAUCUUUUUGUUUGAUUACAGAAGAAUUACACCUUUAUUUUAGACAUUCUGGAAAAAAUGCAACAAAGAGAAUAAAAAUCAUUCAUAAUCCCACUGCUCAGAAAUUACCACUGCUGGCCAGGCGUGGUGGCUAACGCCUGAAUCCCAGCAA
rnacentral:lncRNA from 10 species